rnacentral:rRNA from 1 species
ACGGGAGGCAGCAGUGGAGAAUCUUGCACAAUGGGGGAAACCCUGAUGCAGCAACGCCGCGUGAAGGAUGAAGGCCCUUGGGUCGUAAACUUCUGUUCUAAGGGAAGAUAAUGACGGUACCUUAGGAGCAAGUCCCGGCUAACUACGUGCCAGCAGCCGCGGUAAUACGUAGGGGGCGAGCGUUAUCCGGAAUUAUUGGGCGUAAAGAGUACGUAGGUGGUUUCCUAAGCAUGGGGUUUAAGGCAACGGCUUAACCAUUGUUCGCCCCAUGAACUGGGUUACUUGAGUGCUGGAGGGGAAAGCGGAAUUCCUAGUGUAGCGGUGAAAUGCGUAGAUAUUAGGAGGAACACCAGUGGCGAAGGCGGCUUUCUGGACAGUAACUGACACUGAGGUACGAAAGUGUGGGGAGCAAACAGGAUUAGAUACCCUGGUA